rnacentral:rRNA from 1 species
AGGUAGAAUUCCCGGUGUAGCGGUGAAAUGCGUAGAGAUCGGGAGGAAUACCAGUGGCGAAGGCGGCCUUCUGGACUGACACUGACGCUGAGGUGCGAAAGCGUGGGUAGCAAACAGGAUUAGAUACCCUGGUAGUCCACGCCGUAAACGAUGUCGACUAGCCGUUGGGCUCCUUGAGAGCUUUGUGGCGCAGUUAACGCGAUAAGUCGACCGCCUGGGGAGUACGGCCGCAAGGUUAAAACUCAAAUGAAUUGACGGGGGCCCGCACAAGCGGUGGAGCAUGUGGUUUAAUUCGAUGCAACGCGAAGAACCUUACCUACCCUUGACAUCGAGAGAACUUUCCAGAGAUGGAUUGGUGCCUUAGGGAACUCUCAGACAGGUGCUGCAUGGCUGUCGUCAGCUCGUGUUGUGAAAUGUUGGGUUAAGUCCCGUAACGAGCGCAACCCUUGUCCCUAUUUGCCAGCGAUUCGGUCGGGAACUCUAGGGAGACUGCCGGUGACAAACCGGAGGAAGGUGGGGACGACGUCAAGUCAUCAUGGCCCUUACGGGUAGGGCUACACACGUGCUACAAUGGCCGGUACAAUGGGUUGCGAAUCCGCGAGGUGGAGCUAAUCCCAUAAAGCCGGUCUCAGUCCGGAUCGGAGUCUGCAACUCGACUCCGUGAAGUCGGAAUCGCUAGUAAUCGUGAAUCAGAAUGUCACGGUGAAUACGUUCCCGGGCCUUGUACACACCGCCCGUCACACCAUGGGAGUGGACUGCACCA